rnacentral:lncRNA from 1 species
AUUAAGAACAAUAAUGGACCCAUGUUUCGAAUGGUGGUGCUAUAUGGGGUACCUUGGGUGUUUUGCUUGGAGUGGUCGAAUUCGAGGACGAAUUCUUUUUAAGGGGGGUAGAGUGUAAUAUCCCAAAAAAAUAUUGACCAAAAGUUGAUCUUCGGUGCGUGGAUGAGGGAAAGAGUUGUGGGCCGUUGGAUGCAAAGUCAGGAGACAUCUGAGGCGUCGUUUCUUUCUCCCACAAAACCCUAGUGGUCGCCCCCUCCCUUUUUCCCUUUUCUUGGCCGCCAACACCCCCUUUUCCCCACCAUUGGCCGCCCCUCCCCCUUCCCCUUACAGCCGCCCUCCACUGCUUCCUCCUCCCUCUAGAUCUCCCCCCACGCAGCAAGGAUCGAGAUGAGGAGGAGCAAGAUGGAUUGAAAAGGAAGAGAGGAUCAAGGAGAUGUUCUACCCCCAUCUCUUGCAGAUUUUCUUGGGGAAACCCUAGGUAAGGAUGGGAUCCUUGUUCCUCCCUAUAAUUAUGUGCUUUUGGAGGUUGUGGAUCAUGUGGAUUGAAGGAUUAGAGGUUGGAUUAGAUGUGGGGUUAGGUUUUGAUCUCGAAUUUAAUUUCUGCAGAAUGGCAGAUUCGACAGUUUCUGUUCAUGCCAGUUUUCCGUGGUCUUAGUGGCCUCAAAAAAAUAAAAAGUCUAUAUAUGAGUCGUAGAUAAUUUAUAGAUCUUUCUGUGGACGCGAAGAACACCAGAACAGAAAGUUAUUGCAGUUUGAUUAUAGCAGUUUUUUAGUCUCAUAAUUCUGUGCAGAAUCUGUUCUCUUAAGAGUUAGGCAAUUUUAUCAACAGAAUUAAAAUGUGGGUUGGUAAAAGAAGUUGUAGAUAAUUUCAUAAGCUUUCCAGAUUGUUAAAGAGUGCAUUCAUAUGAUUUAUGAAACUCCAGUUAUGUUUGUUUUACUGUGGCUGUUACUGUUUGCCUGACAAAAAUGAGCGGGUCUGUUCACUGAUGGGUUUCAUCUAGUAAAUGGCCGAAUUGGCUCUUCCAACUAUGGAGACUUUUGUAGAGGGAUAAAAGUUCUUACUGUCAGCAGAAUUUAAUAAUUUUUGGUUUAGUAGUUUGGGAGAUAUCGAAUUUUGAAGUUAACUAGGCUGCUGUCUAAAACAGAUUCAGUCAGUUAUCUUGUCAGAUUUUUAGAACUUAUUGAUGGCAGAAUUUAAUUAUCCAUUCAAUACCGAAGUUGUAGAGUGUUUUGUGUAGAUACUCCUAGAGUAUUUUUUGAUAUCACCACGGUUUUAAUUUUAAAGAUACAAAAUUAACAAACAGUGUUGCUGCUGUAUGGCAUGUGGUUCAGGGUGGGAGUCUUUCCACUGGGUCUUGGUUUCAAGUGUAGGAGUGUUUUGUUGAUCGUUGGCAAAUGUUUGUGAAAUAUUUGUACUAAGUUUUAUGCCCACUAGCAGGUGGCUACACUCCAGAUCAUGCCUAGUACAUUUUUCUUCUUCGAUGCAAAAAUCAUAAACCCCACAGUUUCUGUAAUGUUUUACAGAGUUUUGAAUUAAAUAAGAAAACUGCCCAAAGUUCAUUAAUAAAGGGAAAAAUAGAAAUAUUGUUAGACCAGGGUUAAGAAAAAUAGUGGAGACCCUAACCUAGUGGUUAUCCUGUUUAAAAUUAAUAAACACCCCAGUAUACAAGGUUAAGGAGGAUUUAUUCACUAAAUCUUGUUUAUGCUCAAACUUAGGAAAAUUAAGAAAAGGAAUUAAAAAUGAAAACCAGAGGGCAACCAUAUUUUUCCUAGCAUGCCUAAGUUAUGUAGUUCACAAGAAAAAUCCAUUGAACCAUAGUCCAGUGAGAGGAAAUUGUAAUCACAAUUAUUCAUGAAAACUGAGAAAACUUUGAAAAAUCAUAAGAAAAUAAUCUUAAGGAGAAAACACCCCUACCUUAGGAAUAACUAUUCUUGUGCUAAGAGGAACCUAGGAAAAAUACAAGUUCUGUUGUCUGAUAUUUUUCAAAUAACAAGUUAGUUAUAAGUGUCUUUUUAGCAUUAAACAUUAGAAAAUCACAACUAAAUAACCACCAAAUAUCCUUCUGUGAUUUUUGGCACAGAGGCAUGUUAUUACUUUUAGAUACCAGCAACAAUGACCCUAAGGAUAGAACCCACCCUAGUUAAGAGUUGUAGUGCAAAGUGACCCCCUUUGCCCCAACUUUUGUUAUUUUUGUCCAGGGCAUACUCUAUUUAAAUUGGACCUCAAAUUUAUAGGGCAGACUACAAUAACAAAUAGUAACCCUCUGUAAUUUUUAUAGAAUUUUUGGAAAAAGUUAAAUCACUGAUGUAGUUCCAACCCACACUAGAAUUCAUAAAUAGAAAAUGAAAAAGGGAAAUUAACAAUGGAGAUUAAUGUCAUCAUAACCCAACCAGCAAAACCCCCCUAAAUGCCUACUAAAACAUCUAAGGGAAAUCCAAGCUUCAAUCCACUAUGCUUAUCCCUAGGCAAAACCCGAACCUAAAGUUGAUAAGCAUAAACCACUAAGAGCCACGUAUAACCAAGAAACCCUAAGUUACUAACCAGCUUAGUUUUCUUUCACUUAGCAUAAUGUUUACUAAAUCAUGCAUAAUCAUGGCAUACAUAUUCUCAUUCAUUGCAUUCGAUUGAUUGCAACCUCGCUGACGGAGAGUACGUCCUCGUGGCGGAGCAAGGAGUUGCUCAAGAGGUAGCCCCGGAUCCAGCAACAGAGCCUGCCCCAGAGGAUCUACCUGACCUAGCUUUGGAAGGCAAGCCCCGGUUUUAUGUAUAACCAAUUAUAUUAUGCUAUUUUACUACACUUAAUGUUUGUAGGCUUGUAUUGUGCACUUAAGUAUAGGAGUUGAUUAAAACCCUAGUUGCAUGAACUCAGUAAUCCUUGUUGAGAUGAAUACUAAUAUGCUAGGUUGAGUAGCUGCUUUACUAAUUAGGAUCUCGGUAGAAGUCGAGUGAUUUUUCUAGCACUCGCGCGAGGUCAGGACAUUGAUUGUACCCACUUUCAUAUCAUACUGAUGUUGGUCUGUGGACACGGAUCCAUGAGGAUGCGUGGUCUACGAGAUAAAAUUUGAAUAAGGAUUAAUGUGUGGAUACCUGUGUCAAGCGAUUGAACGUACUAAGCACAUGCAGAGAAAUAUGGUAAAUCGGUAAGCCUAGUACCUGAGUGAACCUGGCAGUGGACAUAUCCCCUCACACGACCUGAGACGUGGUCUCCCAUUCCGGUUAUGGUGGGUACAAGUGCGGUCACUGCACGAUGGCAGUCGAGGUCAGUGAGGCAUUGUACGCCAAGGCGGUGAGCCCUGAUCUGCUGACGGGGAAUCGAUGGGGACAGUUGAUGUGUGUGGGGACGGAGUGCCUCGCCACUUCGUGUGUUUAGGUUUACCUUGCAAGGUUUAAAAACUCGAUUCGAAUCGUCUGCUUCUCACAGCUAAUGAGACUGCUUGAUCCAUUGUACUGCAUCGAGUAACAAGUGGAAAUGUGAUGAUGUGGCAAAAGAUGUUGAUUGCUAAAUAUGCUUGAUACCAUGAAUGAGUAGAUAGUACACAUUUAGUCUUAAGAGAGUCACACUUAAACUUGAUAAAGCUAAAACUUGAUUUUUAGACUCAGCUAGUGCUUUUGGCAACCAAACCCCUCAGCCAAACAGCUGCAUGUCUAGAGGUAGAGGAGUAGACUCCUCACACCGGGUAAGUCUAGCUGAGUAUUAGUAUACUCAGCCUUGCUUGUGGCAUAAUUUUACAGGUUCUCUGGAGGACAUGGUUGCUGGAGUGACUUGGCCGUCCAUCUUGCCACGGGGUUGGACAGUCGAGUGGGACCCUACCUCGGCUGAGGAGGAGCAUGAGGAGUGAUGGGACAGGCUUCCCCAUCUCUCUGUAUAUUUACCGUUAGUUUUAUUCCGCUGCACUUCGAAUAAUGAUGACUACUUUUGCUAAAACUCCGAUGAUGAUGUAAUAAGUUUAAUACUCCU